GACGAACGCUGGCGGCGUGCUUAACACAUGCAAGUCGAACGAAGUGGCGAACGGGUGAGUAACGCGUAAUCAACCUGCCCUUCAGAGGGGGACAACAGUUGGAAACGACUGCUAAUACCGCAUACUGAAGGAGGGGAUUGCGUCUGAUUAGCUAGUUGGAGGGGUAACGGCCCACCAAGGCGAUGAUCAGGAGGCGGUCUGGGGGGGUGAACGGCCACAAUGGGGAUGGGACACCGGCCAAGAUCCUACGGGAGGCAGCAGUUGGGAAUCUUCCGGAAUUGGAGGAAAGUUGACGGGGCAAACGCGGGGGGGUGAUAGCGGCUUUCGGGUUGGAAAACUCGGGUUGUCGGGACGCGGUACCGAAAUAGAAAGCCACGGCUAACUACGUGCCAGCAGCCGCGGUAAUAC
rnacentral:rRNA from 1 species